rnacentral:rRNA from 1 species
AACGAACGCUGGCGGCAUGCCUAACACAUGCAAGUCGAACGAAGCCUUCGGGCUUAGUGGCGCACGGGUGCGUAACGCGUGGGAAUCUGCCUCUUGCUUCGGAAUAACAGUUAGAAAUGACUGCUAAUACCGGAUGAUGUCUUCGGACCAAAGAUUUAUCGGCAAGAGAUGAGCCCGCGUAGGAUUAGGUAGUUGGAGGGGUAAAGGCCUACCAAGCCGACGAUCCUUAGCUGGUCUGAGAGGAUGAUCAGCCACACUGGGACUGAGACACGGCCCAGACUCCUACGGGAGGCAGCAGGGGGGAAUAUUGGACAAUGGACGCAAGUCUGAUCCAGCAAUGCCGCGUGAGUGAUGAAGGCCUUAGGGUUGUAAAGCUCUUUUACCAGGGAUGAUAAUGACAGUACCUGGAGAAUAAGCUCCGGCUAACUCCGUGCCAGCAGCCGCCGUAAAAC